rnacentral:snRNA from 1 species
AUGCUUCCCUGGCAGGGGAGACACCAUGAUCACAAAGGUGGUUUUCCCAGGGCGAGGCUCACCCAUUGCUCUCCGGGUGUGCUGACCCCUGUGAUUUCCCCAAAUGUGGGAAACCCGACGGCAUAAUUUGUGGUUGGUAGUUGGGGACUGCGUUCACGCUCUCCCCUG